rnacentral:rRNA from 1 species
UACGGAGGGUGCUAGCGUUGUUCGGAAUUACUGGGCGUAAAGGGCGCGUAGGCGGCCGUUUGCGUCGGAUGUGAAAGCCCGGGGCUCAACCUCGGAACGGCAUUCGAUACGGGACGGCUGGAGACCGGGAGAGGAGAGUGGAAUAGCCAGUGUAGAGGUGAAAUUCGUAGAUAUUGGCUGGAACACCGGUGGCGAAAGCGGCUCUCUGGCCCGGUUCUGACGCUGAGGCGCGAAAGCAUGGGGAGCGAACAGG